rnacentral:rRNA from 1 species
AGUGGGGAAUAUUGCACAAUGGAGGAAACUCUGAUGCAGCAACGCCGCGUGGAGGAUGACGCAUUUCGGUGUGUAAACUCCUUUUAUAUAGGAAGAUAAUGACGGUACUAUAUGAAUAAGCACCGGCUAACUCCGUGCCAGCAGCCGCGGUAAUACGGAGGGUGCAAGCGUUACUCGGAAUCACUGGGCGUAAAGCGCAUGCAGGCGGUCUAAUAAGUUGGAAGUGAAAUCCUAUGGCUCAACCAUAGAACUGCUUCCAAAACUGUUAGACUAGAGUCUGGGAGGGGAAGAUGGAAUUAGUAGUGUAGGGGUAAAAUCCGUAGAGAUUACUAGGAAUACCAAAAGCGAAGGCGAUCUUCUGGAACAGUACUGACGCUGAGAUGCGAAAGCGUGGGGAGCAAACAGGAUUAGAUACCCUGGUAGUCCACGCAGUAAACGAUGAAUGUUAGUCGUUGGUAUGCUAGACAUAUCAGUGAUGCAGUUAACACAUUAAACAUUCCGCCUGGGGAGUACGGUCGCAAGAUUAAAACUCAAAGGAAUAGACGGGGACCCGCACAAGUGGUGGAGCAUGUGGUUUAAUUCGAAGAUACGCGAAGAACCUUACCUAGCCUUGACAUAUUAUAGAAUUCAGUAGAGAUACAGAAGUGCCUUCGGGAGCUAUAUUACAGGUGCUGCACGGCUGUCGUCAGCUCGUGUCGUGAGAUGUUGGGUUAAGUCCCGCAACGAGCGCAACCCUCGUCACUAGUUACUAACGGUUAGGCCGAGGACUCUAGUGAGACUGCCUUCGUAAGGAGGAGGAAGGUGAGGACGACGUCAAGUCAUCAUGGCCCUUACGGCUAGGGCAACACACGUGCUACAAUGGUUAGGACAAUGAGAAGCAAUAUCGCGAGGUGGAGCAAAUCUAUAAACCUAAUCUCAGUUCGGAUUGUAGUCUGCAACUCGACUACAUGAAGCUGGAAUCACUAGUAAUCGUAGAUCAGGUAUGCUACGGUGAAUACGU